UGUCCAGACUCCUACGGGAGGCAGCAGUGGGGAAUAUUGCACAAUGGGGGAAACCCUGAUGCAGCGACGCCGCGUGGGCGACGAAGCGCUCCGGCGCGUAGAGCCCUGUCAGCAGGGAAGAACAAAGACAGUACCUGACCAAGAAGCCCCGGCUAACUACGUGCCAGCAGCCGCGGUAAUACGUAGGGGGCAAGCGUUAUCCGGAUUCACUGGGCGUAAAGGGAGCGCAGGCGGCACGGCAAGUCUGGUGUGAAAGCCCGGGGCCCAACCCCGGGACUGCUCUUGGAACUGCGCGGCUGGAGUGCCGGAGGGGCAGGCGGAAUUCCUGGUGUAGCGGUGAAAUGCGUAGAUAUCAGGAGGAACACCGGCGGCGAAGGCGGCCUGCUGGACUGCGACUGACGUUGAGGCCCGAAAGCGUGGGGAGCAAACAGGAUUAGAUACCCUAGUA
rnacentral:rRNA from 1 species